ensembl:lncRNA
CUUACACACACAAUAUUCCUGGAGCCUAUAUACAUCUGCCUGUAUGUUACAUUUUUCUGAAAUGGGGUAUUUGAGUUCACAUUUGUAAACACUCUUUCUGUAAAACUUCCCUGUCUAGAUAGUGUGUCUCUAAUCAUUUGUUUGUUAUGAUCCUGGAAGCAAUAUUACAGAUCAAAUUUCAGCUGAUAAUCAACAUGGGAAACGAAUAAUUUGUCUGUUCUGGCUUUUGUCAAUCAGUUCUCAGUACUUGGAAACGAAAUGGCGAAACUGACCCCUUUUGCUUCUUACCUUUCAAAUGCUCUUUUAUUUGGCUCAUCCAUGUGGACUGUUUUGGAUCAUUUUUCUGAAAGAUUAUCCCCAAAUAGCAUUCCACCCCCACUGACUCCUCCUUAUGAUAAACUUGCCAAGAAAACAACUUAAGCAAAUUGAAAGACCUUUUGAAAAGAAAGGAAGUUGCCACAACAUGGUAUCCAAGCCAAGAAAUAUCCCCAGCAUUCUCCUGGUAAUUUUUAGUUGAAGAUUUAUCUAAAGGAAAAGAAAAAUAAUUUAUGGAUUGAACUCCAUCGCAUGACAGUAUUUAAGGUUCGAUCCCUGGUCAAGAAACUGAGAUCCCACAUACCAGCUAAGCAUCUAAGCCCGAGGACAACAACUACUGAGCCCUCAAGCCACAGUGAAAGAGCCAUCCCGCAAGAUGCAACUAAGACCUGACUCAGCCAAGUACAUGAAAAAGAAAAAGAUUCAAGAACAGGGACAGACCGGAACCUGGUGGUCCAGAGUCAAAGAUAAGAAACUGAUAAAGAGAGAGAGAGAAAGAAAGAAAGAAAGACAUGGUGACUGAAGCUCUGAUGGAGCAAAAGUGCUUUAAUGAACUUUCUGUUUGGGACCUCUAACUCAAAUUUCUGAGGGUCUGGAAAAGCUAUAUUUAUAUAUUUAUCUGAUGUCAUGCCCUUGUAUCUUCAUUUUGCGGUAAUUCACCAAGCAGAAAACUUGGUGUGGAGUCACUAAUUAGUUUUUUCUAGAAGCCAAAGAAAACUCAGCAUUAUGAAACAGUUCCGCAUCAUGUUUCCUUAGUUCUUUGGUUUUCAUACUGCAUUUGAUUUUCCUUUGCGAUUUCCCUAGCCAAUCUAUGUCUUGAGACGCACUUUGCUGCUGCUGCUGCUGCUGCU